rnacentral:rRNA from 1 species
CAGCCGCCGCGGUAAUACGAAGGGGGCUAGCGUUGUUCGGAUUUACUGGGCGUAAAGCGCACGUAGGCGGAUCGAUCAGUCAGGGGUGAAAUCCCAGAGCUCAACUCUGGAACUGCCUUUGAUACUGGGUGUCUUGAGUGUGAUAGAGGUAUGUGGAACUCCGAGUGUAGAGGUGAAAUUCGUAGAUAUUCGGAAGAACACCAGUGGCGAAGGCGACAUACUGGAUCAUUACUGACGCUGAGGCUCGAAAGCGUGGGGAGCAAACAGGAUUAGAGACCCGCGUAGUCCCUGUCUCUUAUAC